AUGAGGAAGGCGGUGGUCGGCAGCGUCUACUCCAAUGGUGCUGGCUGGGUAUCGGUGGCGCAGUCUAAAGUUAUCAUGGAGUAUUUGUUUGAUUUUUCAAAGCAGCUUCAGGUUGAUUUCGUCAAGUUUUUCUCUGCUGACCCUCUUGGACAUCGCAGCGACGUCAGGUGUUUCCUACUGGAUUUUGUUGGGGAAGUCUUUUUCAUCACAAAGGGAUGGGAACGUGUUGCGGUUCUCGGCAUUGAGCCAAAGAAGAAACAGGCGUUCAUGCCCGUGAAGACUUUCGGCAGGUACACCAUCUUCAUCGGCCAUCAAAGGUGCCUGGUUGUUGAUGCCGCCAAGUUCCCAUCCGUCGAGGCAGACUGUGUCUACUACACCCAAGACGUUGGUAAAUUUGCUUUCAUCUGGAAGCACAACAUCAGAGAUGGGAAAGACGAGAGGGUAUAUGAUGUCGUCAAUUUCAUCAAGGAGGACAAGCAGUUUGUCUCCUCCGGCCCCCGUCCUUUCACCAUCAUUCAUCUUCUCUCGAGCUACACGAUCAACCUCAGCAAUUCUGAAUUGGUCUGA
rnacentral:rRNA from 1 species